rnacentral:tRNA from 1 species
GCGCCCGUAGCUCAAUUGGAUAGAGCGUCUGACUACGGAUCAGAAGGUUGGGGGUUCGAGUCCUCCCGGGCGCA